GGGUCAGUAGGUUGGUCGUGCCACCGGUACGUACUGGUCACACUGAUUCCUCCUUCCUGAAGAACCGUAAUGCCAUUAAUGUGGUGUUGCGGGGAAACAGGACUGUUACUUUGAAAAAAUUAGAGUGUUUAAAGCAAGCUAACGCUUGAAUACAUUAGCAUGGAAUAAUGAAAUAGGACGAUCGAUCCUAUUUUGUUGGUUUCUAGGAUUGACGUA
rnacentral:rRNA from 1 species